GACGUAGGGCGCGAGCGUUGUCCGGAUUUAUUGGGCGUAAAGAGCUCGUAGGCGGUCUGUCGCGUCGGCUGUGAAAACCCGGAGCUCAACUCCGGGUCUGCAGUCGAUACGGGCAGACUGGAGUUCGGCAGGGGAGACUGGAAUUCCUGGUGUAGCGGUGAAAUGCGCAGAUAUCAGGAGGAACACCGGUGGCGAAGGCGGAUCUCUGGGCCAUUACUGACGCUGAGGAGCGAAAGCGUGGGGAGCGAACAGG
rnacentral:rRNA from 1 species